AUAGAGACUCAGAGCUGCAUAUCAAUAAGCGGAGGAAAAGAAACUAACAAGGAUUCCCUUAGUAACGGCGAGUGAAGCGGGAAGAGCUCAAAUUUGAAAUCUUCAAGGUUUUACCUUGACGAAUUGUAGUUUAAAGAAGUGUUUUCUGUUGGAGUUUCGGUAAAAGUUCUUUGGAAUAGGACAUCAUAGAGGGUGAGAAUCCCGUAUUUGACCGUUACUUUCCAGCUGUGUGAUACACUUUCAAAGAGUCGGAUUGUUUGGGAAUGCAGUUCAAAAUGGGUGGUAAAUUUCAUCUAAAGCUAAAUAUUGGCGGGAGACCGAUAGCGAACAAGUACCGUGAGGGAAAGAUGAAAAGAACUUUGAAAAGAGAGUUAAACAGUACGUGAAAUUGUCAAAAGGGAAGCGUUUGACACCAGUGUUGUUUAGUUGAAAAUCAAUUCAAUAGUUUUUGAUUUUAAGUAGUAUUUGACUUCAUCAGCUUGCUGCUUUUUUCUCUGAAAUUAUUGAAUGCACCUUUCAGUUAACAAGUCAACAUCAGUUUCUUUUGUUGUAAAAAGGUGAGAGGAAGGUGGCUUGCGCUUCGGCUCAAGUGUUUAUAGCCUUUUACCCCUGCAAUCGAAGAGACUGAGGUCUGCAGCGUAGAUCCUUCGGGGUUAGAUACAUUUGUGCUAAGCUAUAGCCUUGUAUAGACAACUUGUUGACUAUGCUCAGUCAUGUAGCUUACUCGCUUAUGCUAUUUUACCUACGCUUAGGAUGUUGAAGUCAUCGUAUCGCGC
rnacentral:rRNA from 1 species